UACCAGCUCUCCGAGUGGUGUGGAUGUAUAUUUGGCCUAAAGCAUCCGUAGCUGGCUGGGCAAGUCCCCUGUUAAAUCCACCGAUUUAAUCGUUGGAAUGCGGGGGAUACUGUUCGGCUAGGGGACGGGAGAGGCAGACGGUAUUUUCGGGGUAGGGGUGAAAUCCUAUAAUCCCGGGAAGACCACCAGUGGCGAAGGCUGUCUGCUAGAGCGCGCCCGACGGUGAGGGAUGAAAGCUGGGGGAGCGAACCGGAUUAGAUACCCGGGUAGUCCCAGCUGUAAACGAUGCAGGCUAGGUGUUUGGGCGACUACGUGCCGCUCUAGUGCCGCAGGGAAGCCGUUAAGCCUGCCGCCUGGGGAGUACGGCCGCAGGGCUGAAACUUAAAGGGAAUUGGGCGGGGGAGCACCGACAAGGGGUGAAGCUUGCGGUUU
rnacentral:rRNA from 1 species